rnacentral:rRNA from 1 species
UCAAAUGACUUUUGAACUUAGUGGCGGACGGGUGAGUAACGCGUGAGCAACCUGCCUUUCAGAGGGGGAUAACAUUUGGAAACAGAUGCUAAUACCGCAUAAGAUUACAGUACCGCAUGAUACAGUGAUCAAAGGAGCAAUCCGCUGAAAGAUGGGCUCGCGUCCGAUUAGAUAGUUGGUGAGGUAACGGCUCACCAAGUCGACGAUCGGUAGCCGGACUGAGAGGUUGAACGGCCACAUUGGGACUGAGACACGGCCCAGACUCC